UGAAUUUGGCAGUGGGUUUGCAGGUUAAGAACUGGGGGUACUCUGAAGUGCAUUUGCCUGCUAUUUCUUUACUUGAGCUUGGUUGACCAUAGAAUGAUAACUCAGAAUGCUAUCAUCUGCAUCAUAUUUCUUUUUAAUUGUAUUGAGUGGGAUCUUCUUCUUAAUUUGAGACAAUAAAAAUCCUUGCAGGCACUUUUUUGACUGGCA
rnacentral:misc_RNA from 1 species